rnacentral:rRNA from 1 species
UGGCGGACGGGUGAGUAACGCGUGGGUAACCUGCCCUGUACAGGGGGACAACAGUUAGAAAUGACUGCUAAUACCGCAUAAGCGCACAGGACCGCAUGGUCCGGUGUGAAAAACUCCGGUGGUACAGGAUGGACCUGCGUCUGAUUAGGUAGUUGGCGGGGUAACGGCCCACCAAGCCGACGAUCAGUAGCCGACCCGAGAGGGUGACCGGCCACAUUGGGACUGAGACACGGCCCAAACUCCUACGGGAGGCAGCAG